rnacentral:misc_RNA from 1 species
GAAUUGCGAUAUGUAAUGUGAAUUGCAGAAUUCAGUGAAUCAUCGAAUCUUUGAACGCAUAUUGCACCCUCUGGUAUUCCAGAGGGUAUGCCUGUUUGAGUGUCAUUAAUCUCUCAACUCUGAGUAAAUGGUUACAACUGUCUACUCUAAAGUUGGAUUAUGAAGAUUGCUGGCUUUAUUAGCCAGCUUCUUUAAAAUGCAUUAGCAAUUCUUUGUAGAGUUGGUUUCAGCUUGGUAAAUAUUUAUCUACGCUGCUGCCCUCUGUUGGAAUGCUUUCAAAUUGUCCAAUUGGGGACUGUCUUUGAUAGACAAUUAUUAAACUCUUGACCUCAAAUCAGGUAGGACUACCCGCUGAACUUAA